UUUCUUGAAGUCAUAAUAAUCUCCUAGUCACUGGGAGGGCCGCAGAAGUAACAGGAAACCUGCUUAUACAGUAGCUAAAUAAACAGAUACAGUGCUAUGAGACAGAAAGGUUGGGUCAGUCAUCUUUCCAGGGAAAAACUGUGCUGACAGCGAUUUCAGUUGUACAUCAUGCUAUUCACUUGCCCCAGUACAGGCUAAUGUUCUAGAACGUGGUGAUUGUGACUUCUGACAAAGAAAGGAAUAAUGGAAUUCAUUUUGACCAAUCAAAAAACCAAACAUUUCAUUCCUAACAGCAUAUAGAAUGCAAGACUCUAAUUCACUGUAUUGGUUGGUUGAGUUUUGAAACCAUGGCCUGCUGACUUGCUUUGGCUCCUGACUGACAGUCUGCGGAUUUAGAAGGUAACUCUGCCACAGUCUUCCCCCGGGCAGCAGGGAGAGGAGCUGGAGUUCCCCAGGCUACAGCUGGAAAACCCCAAACCAUAGAAGAUAUGGAAAAAAGAGAACUAAAGUCCUAGUUCAGAUCUUCAGUGACACUCAUGAUCGUGAGUCAAGAGCAGGCACGGAGUAAAGACAGUCUCAGCCAGCACCAGAAGGCCAAAAGAAAAUUAAGGAUCCUCCAGACACUAAGCAAGACUCUAGUGAAGUGAGUUCUGCCUCUCAACACAGCUGCUAACAAAGAAUCAAGCCCUGCUUCCUCAAGCCCAACCUUCCACGGCGUCUUGGGCAAGGCUGGCCCUCACCAUGAUCUCUGAUCACUUUGCCCAGAAUCAAACUUUCUAGAGCAUCACAACACUGCCUGCUAUUAAAGUUUGGCACAGUU